ensembl:lncRNA
CAACAGGGCUGCGGAGCAGGGAUGCUGUAUGGGACCCACCUGCCGUGGACACCACAGCACGCUCUCCCAGAGGCUCACUCCGCAGCUAGGACGUAGCCCUCCUUUUCCCAAGCUGUCAUCCGCGUGUGUCUCCAGCAGCAUCCAAGCCCAGCAGAGCUUCCAGGAGUGGCCUUGACAGAGAAAUAGCUGUGUGACUCUGGGAUUAACAGAAGAAGCCAGUCUGCAGGUGUGGCGAGGACUAAUGCAGAGCUCCUGGCUCCUGGCCCUAGCAGAACGCCCCUUUCCUGCCCAGGCCCUGGAUUUAGGACACCCACUGUGGGCCAGGCCUUGGGGGGUUCGGGGGUACGGCGACAGCUCCCGGAGGCCCUCAUCAUCUGGGGUCCAGUGCCAGAGAGCCAUAGGAAGCAAAUGCCAGCUUGAGCCUGCUCGGCCCAUGGCAUCCUCCUCACCCCACCCCCUCUCC